UGGGGAAUCUUGCGCAAUGGUCUAACGACUGACGCAGCGACGCCGCGUGUGGGAGGACGCCUUUCGGGGUGUAAACCACUGUUGCCCGGGACGAACAGCCUCUUUCGAGGGGCCUGACGGUACCGGGUGAGGAAGCACCGGCUAACUCCGUGCCAGCAGCCGCGGUAAUACGGAGGGUGCGAGCGUUGUCCGGAAUCAUUGGGCGUAAAGGGCGCGUAGGUGGCUUCUUAAGCGUGCGGUGAAAGCCUGGGGCUCAACCCCGGGUCGGCCGUGCGAACUAGGGGGCUUGGGAUGCACUGUAGAGGCAGGCGGAAUUCCGGGUGUAGCGGUGGAAUGCGUAGAGAUCCGGAAGAACACCGGUGGCGAAGGCGGCCUGCUGGGCUAUGGCUGACACUGAGGCGCGACAGCGUGGGGAGCAAACAGGAUUAGAUACC
rnacentral:rRNA from 1 species